UGGGGAAUAUUGCACAAUGGGCGCAAGCCUGAUGCAGCCAUGCCGCGUGUGUGAAGAAGGCCUUCGGGUUGUAAAGCACUUUCAGCGAGGAGGAAGGUGGUGAACUUAAUACGUUCAUCAAUUGACGUUACUCGCAGAAGAAGCACCGGCUAACUCCGUGCCAGCAGCCGCGGUAAUACGGAGAGUGCAAGCGUUAAUCGGAAUUACUGGGCGUAAAGCGCACGCAGGCGGUUUGUUAAGUCAGAUGUGAAAUCCCCGGGCUCAACCUGGGAACUGCAUUUGAAACUGGCAAGCUAGAGUCUCGUAGAGGGGGGUAGAAUUCCAGGUGUAGCGGUGAAAUGCGUAGAGAUCUGGAGGAAUACCGGUGGCGAAGGCGGCCCCCCUGGACGAAGACUGACGCUCAGGUGCGAAAGCGUGGGGCAGCAAACAGGAUUAGAUACCCUGGUAGUCCACGCUGUAAACGAUGUCGAUUUGGAGGUUGUGCCCUUGAGGCGUGGCUUCCGGAGCUAACGCGUUAAAUCGACCGCCUGGGGAGUACGGCCGCAAGGUU
rnacentral:rRNA from 1 species